UACAGAGGGUGCGAGCGUUGUUCGGAAUUACUGGGCGUAAAGCGCACGUAGGCGGCGUCGUAAGUCAGGGGUGAAAUCCCGGAGCUCAACUCCGGAACUGCCCUUGAAACUGCAAUGCUAGAAUCUUGGAGAGGCGAGUGGAAUUCCGAGUGUAGAGGUGAAAUUCGUAGAUAUUCGGAAGAACACCAGUGGCGAAGGCGACUCGCUGGACAAGUAUUGACGCUGAGGUGCGAAAGCGUGGGGAGCAAACAGG
rnacentral:rRNA from 1 species